rnacentral:rRNA from 1 species
GCGGCAACAGCUCAAAUUUGAAAUCUGGCCCUUGGGUCCGAAUUGUAAUUUGUAGAGGAUGAUUUUGGUGCGGUACCUUCCGAGUUCCUUGGAACAGGACGCCUUAGAGGGUGAGAGCCCCGUACGGUUGGAUGCCUAGCCUCUGUAAAUCUCCUUCGACGAGUCGAGUAGUUUGGGAAUGCUGCUCUAAAUGGGAGGUAAAUUUCUUCUAAAGCUAAAUACUGGCCAGAGACCGAUAGCGCACAAGUAGAGUGAUCGAAAGAUGAAAAGCACUUUGAAAAGAGGGUUAAAUAGCACGUGAAAUUGUUGAAAGGGAAGGAUUUAUGACCAGACUUUUUCUGGGCGGAUCAUCCGGUGUUCUCACCGGUGCACUUUGCCCAGUUUAGGCCAGCAUCGAUUUUCGGAGGGGGAUAAAAGCUUUGGGAAUGUGGCUCCUUCGGGAGUGUUAUAGCCCAUUGUAUAAUACCCUUCUGGGGAUCGAGGUACGCGCUUCUGCAAGGAUGCUGGCGUAAUGGUUAUCAAUCACCCGUCUUGAAACACGGACCAAGGAGUCGAACAUUUGUGCGAGUGUUUGGGUGUUAAACCCUCACGCGUAAUGAAAGUGAACGGAGGUGAGAGCCCGUACGGGUGCAUCAUCGACCGAUCCUGAAGUUUUCGGAUGGAUUUGAGUAAGAGCAUAACUGUUCGGACCCGAAAGAUGGUGAACUAUGCGUGGAUAGGGUGAAGCCAGAGGAAACUCUGGUGGAGGCUCGCAGCGGUUCUGACGUGCAAAUCGAUCGUCAAAUCUGCGCA